ensembl:lncRNA
UAACAAUUAAAAUUAUGCUGCAUGGAUAACUAGAUAUCUCUUUGCCAUUUGUUAUAUUUAUUUCAAAUGGAAUUAUAAUCAAUCACAUUAUUUUAAGCAGGUUUAUUGCUUGUUGCUCACAUUCCUUAGGCCCUAGAUCAGUGAGUAUUAGUCAUUGGACUAAUUAUCCAAGGGUUAAAAUGGUUUUAGUAGAGAUGGCAUAUGCAGAGCAAUGAUGACUAAUGUUGUCUCCUAUGUAUUAUUUUUUAUUUCAUCCUUCGGUGUACCAGGAUGUUUUUACUUGACCUCACAUAUUUCCCCUAGUGACUCUUGUUUCUUGAAAAGGUGCUGUUAUCCAGGGCACAGGAGAACAUUGGCAAAGAGAAGAAGGGAGGAAAGAAGAGAAGUAGAAGCAGAUGAAGAGGAAGAAAUCAAACAAGAAAUUAACAUGUUGAAGAAAUAAUCUCAUCACCAAAAUAUAGCUACAUACUAUGGUGCUUUUAUCAAAAAGAACCCUCCAGGCAUGGAUGACCAACUUUCAGGAAUAAAAUCAAAGGAACACAGAGAUGGCUGGUGAGCAUGUUACAAGAUGAAAACAUAAAUGUAAAGCCUACAAAAUAAGCAUUGAAAGAAAAAAGGCACUUCUUAGGGGGACAAGAAGAGCUGGGAAGAUGGGUCUGAUGUUCUGGUCACCCACCUUGUCACCUGAUGCCUAUCUAGACUUACUCAACCAGGUAUUGCUAAUUACAGUAUAAUCUCAAGUUGUUGUUUAUCUCUUAGAGAGUCGUGAAAGCCUGGCCAUUACUUUUCUAUCUUGAGGCCUGACCUUCUUCAGAUGUGUCUCUUGGCAAACUUUUGAUGUGUUUUCAUCUUUCGCACUAACUCUCUUGAAGGUCCAUCCCUGUCUGCCUGCCUAUUAGUUUCUAUCUGUCUUGGCUCUCUGUAAUGCUGUCAAUGUGUAUUAUGCAGUAUUGUUAUGGAAAAUGACAGUUGUGACCUCUGUCCUGGACAGAUUGACCUUGUGGUUAUAUGUACAAUCAUAGUUGGGGAACAGAAACAGGAACUCAAAGGUCAGUGGUAAGCAUCUGUAAAAGUUCCAG